rnacentral:rRNA from 1 species
GACAGAGGUCCCGAGCGUUAGGCGGAAUCACUGGGCUUAAAGCGUGUGUAGGCGGUUUGGUAAGUACCUUGUGAAAUCCCACGGCUCAACCGUGGAACUGCUUGGUAUACUGCUUAUCUUGGGCCACUUAGGGGUUACCGGAACAAACGGUGGAGCGGUGAAAUGCGUAGAUAUCGGGUGGAACGCCAAUGGUGAAAACAGGUAACUGGGAGGGUGCCGACGCUGAGACACGAAAGCCAGGGGAGCGAACGGG